CGGUCCAUUCUAAUGCCUGCUGGUCAGCGGUGGCCUGCCAGGCUUCGCUUGUGGACCAGAGUACCCUGGUAGCGACGCCGGGAGGCGUGAGCUCAGCGGCUGUGGGCUCGCGUGCGCGCGCUUCUGGACACGC